rnacentral:rRNA from 1 species
CCGCAUAAACAAUUGUAUUAUUUUCAAUCUUCGUCUAACGACAAAAAUUCAAAUUCCGAAAUGGCAGUUGGUUUUUGUUUUCGAGUCACUUGAUGUUGAUUAAACUAUGCAUUUUAAGAUUGUUUUAUGGAGUAAUUCGGUAUGCUAUAUUCGUGAUUUUAAAUCUCAUGUUUAUAGAGGCUGUUUGGCAUUCUUAAAUCUGUGUAAUGAAGCCACCUGAAUUGUGCAUGACUACCUGCUGAACUUAAGCAUAUCAGUAAGCAGAGGAAAAGAAACAAACAUGGAUUUCCUUAGUAACGGCGAGUGAAA